ACUGAACCACUCAGGUGCCCCUUGCUGAUCAAUAUUUAAAUGGAUUUCAGUUAUAAAGGAAAAAAGUUAAGGCAGUAAAAAUAAAAUCGAUGUACGGUUCUAAGGCCCAUCACUGAACCGUGAGGGGAGACAGAAUGCUGUGGAUGCCCCCUCCGCCUCCCUCCCAC